UGGGCCGUUGCCAAGGGGGAAGGCACAGGACUUUGACUCCUGCAUUCGUGGGUUCGAAUCCCGCCGGCCCAG
rnacentral:tRNA from 1 species